AUAACGUUCGGAAACGGACGCUAAUACCGCAUACGUCCUACGGGAGAAAGCAGGGGACCUUCGGGCCUUGCGCUAUCAGAUGAGCCUAGGUCGGAUUAGCUAGUUGGUGAGGUAAUGGCUCACCAAGGCGACGAUCCGUAACUGGUCUGAGAGGAUGAUCAGUCACACUGGAACUGAGACACGGUCCAGACUCCUACGGGAGGCAGCAGUGGGGAAUAUUGGACAAUGGGCGAAAGCCUGAUCCAGCCAUGCCGCGUGUGUGAAGAAGGUCUUCGGAUUGUAAAGCACUUUAAGUUGGGAGGAAGGGUUGUAGAUUAAUACUCUGCAAUUUUGACGUUACCGACAGAAUAAGCACCGGCUAACUCUGUGCC
rnacentral:rRNA from 1 species